rnacentral:rRNA from 1 species
AUUGAACGCUGGCGGCAGGCCUAACACAUGCAAGUCGAACGAGUGGCGGACGGGUGAGCUAUGUCUGGGAAACUGCCUGAUGGAGGGGGAUAACUACUGGAAACGGUUGCUAAUUCCGCAUACCAUCAGAUGGGCCCAGAUGGGAUUAGCGUGUGGGUGGGGUAACGGCUCACCAAGGCGACGAUCCAGAUCUGGUCUGAGAGGAUGACCAGCCACACGGGAACUGAGACACGGUCCAGACUCCUACGGGAGGCAGCAGUGGGGAAUAUUGCACAAUGGGCGCAAGCCUGAUGCAGCCAUGCCGCGUGUAUGAAGAAGGCCUUCGGGUUGUAAAGUACUUUCAGCGGGGAGGCGUUACCCGCAGAAGAAGCACCGGCUAACUCCGUGCCAGCAGCCGCGGUAAUUC